CCCACAUGAUCAGCAUAAAGUGAUACAUAUACGAUGCAAUAUAAUGAAGCGAACAAACAACCUCUAAUGUAAACACCUUUAUAUUAUACAGGCACAAGAGUGCCAAUACCGUUAAGUUAGAGAGGUCAAACUGCGUCCCACCAUUAUGAAGCCUGAAUGUUCUACAUGUUAAUAAAACAAAGGUGGUCUAAACUGUUUGAACUUAAGCAUGUAGGACCUAUGUAUUUAGUGCCAUAGUUGACCAAAUUUAAAACAGAUAUUUUGAGAAAUGGCUGAGAUAUAGCAAUUUCAACAUUUGCU